AAGACUAUAAUUUCAGGGAUCAUUUCUGUAGUUUGUUACUAGAGAAGUUUCUCUGAUGGUGUAGAGUACCUGAAACCACAAGGAAGAGGCAUAAAGUUCUUACCAGCUCUUGGUGCUGCUCAUUGCAGCUGCCAUUUGCCAUUGAUGAUUGUUCUUUUCCUCUGGAGAAGCAAGAGGGUGAGGACAUUGUCUGAGUGGU
rnacentral:snoRNA from 1 species